UACCAAUAAUUGUAUUUUUAUUUUCGAAAUUCGAACUGCACCUAUCGUGCAAGCAAGCGCAGUUAUCGAUAAAUCAUUGUGAGCUCGACAUUGUGUAAAAGACGACGGAUAUUUCGGUGCGCGGUUCUAGUGCUUAUUAAAUCAGUUCAUUAUGGAGGACAACGUUUCUAUGCAGAAGCUGAUCAAAUUUGUUAAGGAAACCAAUUUGGACGAAGGAUGUCUAACAAAAUUAACAGAAUUAAAUAAAAUCGAUGUAUUUACUGGCCCGCCUAUCCACGUACACCUGGUCGACGGCAGCAAAUUUAUUAGAUUUAAAAUAUUAUAAAAUAAACAUAUUUUAUUUAAAAAAAAAAGCAAAAUAAA